rnacentral:misc_RNA from 1 species
GGAUCGUCCUCGCCGGUGAUGUCGCCGGCUCAUCCUCAGUCUCGAUUGGGUGCGUCUUCCACCAUCAAGCGCGCCCAGAAUGUUGCCGCCAAGAAGGCUGCUGAACGUUUGGCUCAGGUUAUGGCCUCCACGCAUGACCAAGAGGACGACGAUGAAGACGAUGAUCUCAGCUUUCGAUUCGGUGCUCCACCUCCUCCUCGUAGUCACUCGUCUUAUCCUACUGUUGUCAAUAGUAACAAUACCAAUUCGUUUCAUACGAUUUCGGG